AACUAACUAGGAUUCCCUCAGUAGCUGCGAGCGAACAGGGAUAAGCCCAGCACCGAAUCCCGCGGCCGAUACCGGACGCCGGGAAAUGUGGUGUUCGGGAGGAUUCAAGUAUCCCGAGAUUACGCGGCGCGUCCAAGUCCUUCUUGAACGGGGCCACAGCCCAUAGAGGGUGCCAGGCCCGUAGCGACCGCCGCUGAUCGCGGGAGGAUCUCUCCUUAGAGUCGGGUUGCUUGAGAGUGCAGCCCUAAGUGGGUGGUAAACUCCAUCUAAGGCUAAAUAUGACCACGAGACCGAUAGCGAACAAGUACCGUGAGGGAAAGUUGAAAAGCACUUUGAAGAGAGAGUUCAAGAGUACGUGAAACCGUUUAGGGGUAAACCUGAGAAACCCGAAAGGUCGAAGGGAGAAAUUCAUUCGCGUUUCGACGCAGGCGUCGGACGGUCGUGCGACGGGAAACGUUCGCGUUUUCCGCGCCCUCCGUUCGUUACGAACCGGCGGCGAACGCGUGCACUUUUCUCCUGGUAGGACGUCGCGAUCCGUUGGGUGUCGGUCUACGGCUCGCGGUGGAGCCCGUUCGUCGUCGUCGUCUUAAUCGACGCGUACGAACGGACCCGCGUGUCCCGGCCGACUCGCUCGACGGUAUACAUAAGGUUUAAGGCCGCUCGUUUUUGGAGCGUUCGACUCGCGGCAAGCGCGCCAGAUGUGUCGGCGAUCGGACCUGGUGCCGAUUCUGACCUCUGGUGACUGUUGGCCGCGACGUUCUCGAACAGACC
rnacentral:rRNA from 1 species